rnacentral:rRNA from 1 species
GAUGAACGCUGGCGGCGUGCCUAAUACAUGCAAGUCGAGCGAACGGACGAGAAGCUUGCUUCUCUGAUGUUAGCGGCGGACGGGUGAGUAACACGUGGAUAACCUACCUAUAAGACUGGGAUAACUUCGGGAAACCGGAGCUAAUACCGGAUAAUAUUUUGAACCGCAUGGUUCAAAAGUGAAAGACGGUCUUGCUGUCACUUAUAGAUGGAUCCGCGCUGCAUUAGCUAGUUGGUAAGGUAACGGCUUACCAAGGCAACGAUGCAUAGCCGACCUGAGAGGGUGAUCGGCCACACUGGAACUGAGACACGGUCCAGACUCCUACGGGAGGCAGCAGUAGGGAAUCUUCCGCAAUGGGCGAAAGCCUGACGGAGCAACGCCGCGUGAGUGAUGAAGGUCUUCGGAUCGUAAAACUCUGUUAUUAGGGAAGAACAUAUGUGUAAGUAACUGUGCACAUCUUGACGGUACCUAAUCAGAAAGCCACGGCUAACUACGUGCCAGCAGCCGCGGUAAUACGUAGGUGGCAAGCGUUAUCCGGAAUUAUUGGGCGUAAAGCGCGCGUAGGCGGUUUUUUAAGUCUGAUGUGAAAGCCCACGGCUCAACCGUGGAGGGUCAUUGGAAACUGGAAAACUUGAGUGCAGAAGAGGAAAGUGGAAUUCCAUGUGUAGCGGUGAAAUGCGCAGAGAUAUGGAGGAACACCAGUGGCGAAGGCGACUUUCUGGUCUGUAACUGACGCUGAUGUGCGAAAGCGUGGGGAUCAAACAGGAUUAGAUACCCUGGUAGUCCACGCCGUAAACGAUGAGUGCUAAGUGUUAGGGGGUUUCCGCCCCUUAGUGCUGCAGCUAACGCAUUAAGCACUCCGCCUGGGGAGUACGACCGCAAGGUUGAAACUCAAAGGAAUUGACGGGGACCCGCACAAGCGGUGGAGCAUGUGGUUUAAUUCGAAGCAACGCGAAGAACCUUACCAAAUCUUGACAUCCUUUGACAACUCUAGAGAUAGAGCUUUCCCCUUCGGGGGACAAAGUGACAGGUGGUGCAUGGUUGUCGUCAGCUCGUGUCGUGAGAUGUUGGGUUAAGUCCCGCAACGAGCGCAACCCUUAAGCUUAGUUGCCAUCAUUAAGUUGGGCACUCUAAGUUGACUGCCGGUGACAAACCGGAGGAAGGUGGGGAUGACGUCAAAUCAUCAUGCCCCUUAUGAUUUGGGCUACACACGUGCUACAAUGGACAAUACAAAGGGCAGCGAAACCGUGAGGUCAAGCAAAUCCCAUAAAGUUGUCCUCAGUUCGGAUUGUAGUCUGCAACUCGACUACAUGAAGCUGGAAUCGCUAGUAAUCGUAGAUCAGCAUGCUACGGUGAAUACGUUCCCGGGUCU